rnacentral:rRNA from 1 species
UACGUAGGGGGCGAGCGUUGUCCGGAGUUACUGGGCGUAAAGCGCACGCAGGCGGUCGUGUAAGUUUGGGGUGACAGUUCCCGGCUCAACUGGGAAAGGACCUUGAAGACUGCAGGACUUGAGGGCCAGAGAGGGACACAGAAUUCCGGGUGUAGUGGUGAAAUGCGUAGAUAUCCGGAGGAAUACCAAAGGCGAAGGCAGUGUCCUGGCUGGUGUCUGACGCUCAGGUGCGAAAGCUAGGGGAGCGAACGGG